CAGUCCCCGCAGCCGCCGCGUCGCCGCCAUUUUUUAAAGGGUCCGCAGCCUGACUCUGCCGAGUAAGGGGGGUGGGGCGGGUGAGUCGGCCUCGCCAGUGCGCAUGCGCGAGGCCCGAGCCGCCGCUUUGGUCACAGUGACCGCCACCGUUGCCCGGGUAUGGGUCCCUGAGACUUGGCGAAGUAGGAGCCCUGUGUGAUCGUGCGUCAGAGUCGGGGCUGAGACCAGCCCUGGCCAGGGCAGUUACCAGGACGGUCUCCGGAGGCCGGGAUUCGCGGAGGGUCCACCAGCAGGAAGAAACCCCAGGAGGAAGAAACCUCAGACAGAUCGCCGGGGAGGCAGCGCGGGAUCCCAGCCUCAGGCGUGCGCGGACGGUGUGCGGAGUCUAGCUUUGUACCAGGCUGCAGUGCAGUAGUGCCAUCUCAGCUCACUGCAACCUCUGCCUCCUGGGUUCAAGCGAUUGUCCUGCCUCAGCCUCCCGAGUAGCUGGGAUUACAGGCACAUGCCACCACACCCAGCUAAUGUUUGUAUUUUUAGUAGAUACGGGGUUUCAUCAUGUUGCCCAGGAUGGUCUUAAUUUCCUGACCUCGUGAUCCGCCCAUCUCGGCCUCCCAAAAUGCUGGGAUUACAGGCAUGAGCCACCAGAACCGGACAUGCUUUCCUUAAAAGCUAAAUAUUUUAGGCUUGUGUGCCAUUAGGCUCUGUUACAACUACUUAAUUCUGCUUUUGUAAUUCUAUAGCACCCAUUGAUAAUACAUAAACAAAUGAGCAUGAAUGUGUCUCAGUAAAAAUUUGUUCACAUAAACAGGCAGUCCACCCAUGAAGCUAUAGCUUGCUGACCCCUUGUUUAAACAAUCAAUUGAAUUCAAACAGAAAUAAAAGGAUCUUAUAUAUUUAACCAUGUUGAUACCAUUUCCAGUGCUUUUCAUUCUUCUAUGUAGAUCCAAAUUUCCUUUUGAUAUUAUUUUACUUCUGCCUGAAACUUUUUCUUUAACAUUUUUUAUAGUGUUGUUUUACUGGUGAUGAUUUCUUUCAGGUUCUAAGUGCCUGAAAAAAUCUUUAUUUCACCUACAUCCUGAAAGAUAGUUUCUCUGAGUCUACAAUUCCCAGCUGACAAUGUUUAUCUUCCAGUACUUUAAAGAUGUUGCUUCAUUAUCUUCUAAUUUUCUUUGUUUCUAAUAAAAUGUUUGCUGGCAUUUUUUGUUCCUCUGUGCAAAC
rnacentral:lncRNA from 1 species